UGUGCAGUUUGUGCUGCCAGCAAGCGUGCAAAGAAGAGGAGGGGGAGCGAGUGCGUACGGGAGGAGGAGGAGGAGGAGAGAGAGCGAGAGAGAGCGAGAGAGAGAGAGUGCAAACAAUGUCAUUCUGUUCAGGAGGCAAUGCUGCAGUCAACUUUGCCGCGCCAUGAAAGCACAUCACCAGCAGCCCAGAGGCUCAGAGUGAGUGCAGAGAAGUUUUCCUGCUCUCCUCCCUUUGUGCGACGCGGGCCGACUCUCAGCUGCAGGCUCCUGCACCCCGUCCGGCCGCCGGUGGCGUGUUGGAACAUGCCUUGACUUGUUGUGCUGUGUGAGCAAAGCACAGUGAGAGAGAGAGAGAGAGAGAGGGAGAGAGAGAGGGGAAGAGGCUCCACGCUACUCCAGUGUGAAGUGACCAAGCAGGAGGAGGCGGACGCUCUCCAGCUGAUGUCCGCCGCGGACGGGACGGGUGGAGGAGCCGCAUCGCCGCCCGCGCUGCUGCCAGAGCACUGCACCACCCUCGGGCUCUUUUUCAGUGCGAGGCCUUCCAGCGGUGGCGGCGGCGGGCGCCGGGGAGGAGCGGCGGGGGACGGCGGCCUGCCGGGACGGAGACGCAGGCGGCUGCUGUGGGUGUUUCUCUGGCAGUGUCUUAGCUGGUUGUUGUGAGGAGUGAGAACGAAGCAAUCAGCAAGUAUACUGCCGCAGAAAUUCUUCGCAAUAAGAAGCCCCGGGAUCACAGCCAAGCGCGGGGGAGAGGGAGGCGGCGCUCGCCAUCCCUCCUGCGGCUGCUGUAAGUUUGGUUUCUGAGUCUCGAGCAGAGAUGCCUGGAGACGACUGGAGAGCAUGGCCUUUAUGUUUACGGCGCCCACAGUAUUUACAGUCGGGAGCAAAGCAUCAACUUCCUGUCGCGAUCCUCUGCUGCCAUCUGGUGACCGAAGCCGCCUCCCAGCAUGCACUUCUCCAUCCAGCACUGCACCAAUCUGCCAAAACUGCUGUCACUCAGUUAAAUCCUUUUCAUUCACAAAACCCGGCUUGAGG